rnacentral:rRNA from 1 species
GACGAACGCUGGCGGCGUGCUUAACACAUGCAAGUCGAACGGAAAGACCCUGCUUUUGUGGGGUGCUCGAGUGGCGAACGGGUGAGUAACACGUGAGUAACCUGCCCUUGACUUUGGGAUAACUUCAGGAAACUGGGGCUAAUACCGGAUAGGAGCUCCUGCUGCAUGGUGGGGGUUGGAAAGUUUCGGCGGUUGGGGAUGGACUCGCGGCUUAUCAGCUUGUUGGUGGGGUAGGGGCUUACCAAGGCUUUGACGGGUAGCCGGCCUGAGAGGGUGACCGGCCACAAUGGGACUGAGAUACGGCCCAGACUCCUACGGGAGGCAGCAGUGGGGAAUAUUGCACAAUGGGCGGAAGCCUGAUGCAGCAACGCCGCGGGCGGGAUGACGGCCUUCGGGUUGUAAACCGCUUUCGCCUGUGACGAAGCGUGAGUGACGGUAAUGGGUAAAGAAGCACCGGCUAACUACGUG